UAAGGUAACGUGUAAAUAGCCAAUGGUC
rnacentral:piRNA from 1 species